UACGGAGGGUGCGAGCGUUAAUCGGAAUUACUGGGCGUAAAGCGCGCGUAGGCGGUCAGGCAAGUCGGGUGUGAAAGCCCUGGGCUCAACCUGGGAAUUGCAUUCGAAACUAUCUGACUCGAGUAUGGGAGAGGGAAGCGGAAUUUCCGGUGUAGCGGUGAAAUGCGUAGAUAUCGGAGGGAACACCAGUGGCGAAGGCGGCUUCCUGGACUAAUACUGACGCUGAGGUGCGAAAGCGUGGGGAGCAAACAGG
rnacentral:rRNA from 1 species